UACGAAGGGGGCUAGCGUUGCUCGGAAUCACUGGGCGUAAAGGGUGCGUAGGCGGGUCUUUAAGUCAGGGGUGAAAUCCUGGAGCUCAACUCCAGAACUGCCUUUGAUACUGAAGAUCUUGAGUCCGGGAGAGGUGAGUGGAACUGCGAGUGUAGAGGUGAAAUUCGUAGAUAUUCGCAAGAACACCAGUGGCGAAGGCGGCUCACUGGCCCGGUACUGACGCUGAUGCGCGAAAGCGUGGGGAGCAAACGGG
rnacentral:rRNA from 1 species